rnacentral:misc_RNA from 1 species
CUGAACCGCCAACACGAGCUGUUGCUGGUCUCCAAACGGGGGCACGUGCACGCUCUGUUUGUGCAUCCACUCACACCUGUGCACCUUCUGUAGUUCUGUGGCCUGGGGGACUCGUCCUCCUGCUGUGGUUCUGCAUCUUUACACUCACGCUGUGAUAAAGUCUAAUGGAAUGCAUGCCGCGUUUAACGCAAUACAAUA